rnacentral:lncRNA from 1 species
UAGAAACAUGAGAAACUGUGAGGGGAAAUUUGUCUUAAGGGUUUUAUGUGCUAGGUUUUCACUUUACUCCAAAACAGAAUGCUGCGAACAGUUUCUGCCUUGGCUUGAUGGUGGUUGUGCUGCCAUCUUCUUCACACUUAAACAUAGGGAAAUAAGAGCAGGGUGCUGGAUCAGGCCCAUGGCCCAUCUUGUCCAGUAUCCUGUCCUCACAGCAGCCAACCAGAUGCCUGAAGGAGCACAAGAUCAUAUCUCUCACGUCUCGUGGUCUCCAGCAACUGGUAUUUGGAGCAGUGCUGGCUCCAACUGUGGCGGUUGAGGACAGCCAUCACAACUGGAAGUCAUUGGAAGCCCUCUCUGCCAUGAAAGUGUACAAUCCUUUUUAAAAGCCACUCAAGUUGGUGGCCUCCUGGAGGUGUGAGUUUCAAAGUUUGACUUAGGUGCUGCAUGAAGAAGCACUUUCUUUCACCUCUUCUAAACUUCUAACAAAAGUAGAUUGAUCUCAAUGGGGUUUGGCUGUUGGUCCAGGUUGCCAUUUCUGAGACACUCUGAAUCCUCUGUAUUACUCAAAUUUUAUUCCUUCCACUAUCGACAAUGAACAUAAUAUAUGGAAUUGCAGGACUGAUAGACUUCAAAGUUGAUAUGCUUUCACAGGGGCAAAAGUAAUUCCUUUAUUUUAUUUUAUUUAUUUAAUCCUGUAUUGUGUUUUUAAUAUUUGAUUGGGAGCCGCCCAGGGUGGCUGGGGAAACCCAGCCAGAUGGGCGGGGUAUAAAUAAUAAAUUCUUCUUCUUCUUCUUCUUCCUCCUCCUCCUCCUCCUCUUCUUCUUCGAGGCUUGCCCUGGGCUGUGCCCAUCCGAGACCUUCAGAAAUUUCCCCCAGAAUUUUGAAGUAAGCUAUUUUCUCCUCAUUCUGCUCAAGGCAGCAAAACUGUGGGUAUCUCCAAUCUGUAUUUUUACACAUACCACAGAGCUUUUGAAAAAAAGAUCAAUGAAAUAUAAGAAGGACAAGCACAAUCUGCUUAUCAUCCUGUUUGAAUUGUACCAAACAGGCAUCAACAACAGUUCUAAUAGUUCUAAUGAACAGAAAAUUGUUCCUGGCAAAAAGAAGAUUUUAGUGCUGAAAUGCAUGGUAUUGAAUGGAGGACACUCAGUUCAUAAUCAAACUUUUAUGACUGUGGAUUUAUUUUUGAUAUUGAAUUUAUAUCCUGCCCUUCCUCCCUAGGGAACCCAGGGUGGCAAGCAGAUCCAUAAUUAAAAACAACAAAGCAAAUUGUUCUAACACAGUGAAAACUUUCUAAAAACAGAAACAGUUAAAACCUUCUAAAAGCAUUUACAGUUAAAAGCAGGGGUAGGCAACCUAAGGCCCGUGGGCUGCAUCCGGCCCAAUCACCUUCUCAAUCCGGCCCACGGAUGCUCCGGGAAUCAGCGCGUUUUUACAUGAGUAGAAUGUGUCCUUUUAUUUAAAAUGCAUCUCUGGGUUAUUUGCGGGGCAUAGGAAUUCGUUCAUUUCUCCCCCAAAAAAUAUAGUCCGGCCCCCCACAAGGUCUGAGGGACAGUGGACCGGCCCCCUGCUGAAAAAGGUUGCUGACCCCUGGUUAAGAGCAUAAUUCCAUCUGGUGAUCUUUUAAGUUGCGAGGAACGUUAUUCUUCAGCUACCAAAUACCUGGGUCAACAGGAAUGUUUUCAGGUUCAUCUUGAAAGUUCAUAAUGAUGGAGACAGACAUGGCUCACUAAGGAGAGCAUUCCACAACUGGGGAACCAGUACUGAAAAGGCAGCCCACAGUGGUGUUGCCACUGCCAUUCGUAGGGUCCAAAAUCCUUGGUGAUGGGGAAGGAGAUUUUAGGUCAAACAGCUCUUAGUGUCAGAAAGUUCUUCCUGGUGUUUAGUCAGAAUCUCCUUUCUUGUAAUUUGAAUCAAUUGGUUCAGGUCCUAGCAGGAGGAAGAAAAACUUCCUCCACCUUCCAUGUGAAAACCCUUUAUAUAUUUGAAGAUGGUGAUCAUACCUCUUCUCAGUCUCCUCUGUUCCAAGCUAAGCAUGCCCAGCUCCUUCAACCAUUCCUCAUAAGGCUUGGUUUCCAGACCCUUUAUCACUUUGGUCAUCUUCCUCUGCACAUCUUCCAGCUUGACAAUAUCCAUCUUAAAUUGUGAUGCCCAGAACUGGACUUGGAACUCCAGGUGUGGUCUGGCCAAGGCUAAAUAGAGUGGGACUGUUACUUCCCUUGAUCAGUACACUAGACUUCUGUUGAUGCAGGACUAAUAAUAAUAAUAAUUUAUACCCUGCCCAUCUGGCACUCCCAACAGAAUAUUAAAAACACGAUAAAACAUCGAACAUUAAAAACUUCCCUAUACAGGGCUGCCUUCAGAUGUCUUCUAAAAGUCAGAUAGUUGUUUAUUUCCUUGACAUCUGAUGGGAGAGCGUUCCACAGGGCGGGCGCCACCACCAAGAAGGCCCUCUGCCUGGUUCCCUGUAACCUCAUCUCUUGCAGUGAGAGAACCACCAGAAGGCUCCCUCAGAGCUGGACCUCAGUGUCCAGGCUGAACGAUCGGGGUGGAGACGCUCCUUCAGGUAGGACAGGCUAAUCUGGGCAUAAACAGAAGACACAUGAGACAUCAGUGACAAGGUGGAAUCCAGGAGUACUCCCAAACGAUGAACCUGAUCCUUCACAUAACAGCACAUAUAACAUACAUCUAAUUCCCAGGCAAGGGAGUCACACACUCUUCCAUCAUAUCAGGAUUCAGUCUCAGUUUAUUGGCCCCCAUCCAGUCCACCAGUGCCUCUAGACACCUGUGAAAUUGAAACUGAAAUACUUUAUUGUCACUUGUACAACUUGUAUACAGUGAUAUUACACAAGCACCCCCCACUCAGCUCUCUUAGUCUUAAUUCCCCUCGUUUACUGAUGCACACCCACCAAACCCGAAAGUCAGUUGCCCUGUUGUUAUCUUUUCAUUCAGCAGCCUAACAGCCCACAGAUAGAAGCUGUUCUUUACCCUGUUGGUGUGACUAAUCACGCUUCUAUAUCUUCUGCCUGAGGGCAGGAGAUCAAGAAAGUGCUGGCCAGGGUGUGAAUCAUCCCUGAGAAUUUUCCUCACUCUCCUGAGGCAAUGUUCUUCCUCGAUGUCAUCCAGCAGAUUCACGGGACAGCCCAUAAUAUCUUGUGCUGUAUUCACCCCCCUCUGUAGGCACUUCCUAUCAGUUGAUGUCAAACCAGCGUACCACACCGUGAUGCAGUAUGAAAGGACAUUUUCUCUUGUGGACCGGUAGAAGGAGAUCAUCAAAUGUUGAUUGACAUUGUUCUUUCGCAAUACUCUGAGGAGAUGAAGUCUCUGUUGGGCUUUCUUAAGCCCCUGGGUUGUAUUGAUUUUCCAAGUAAGGUCUUCACUGAGGUAAACUCCUAGAAAUUUAAAGGAAGAGACUCUCUCCACAUCCUUCCCCGAUGUACAGCGGGGCUAGUUCUCCUCUCUUCCUCCAAAAGUCCAGCACCAUCUCCUUUGUCUUGCUGAUAUUAAGGUGCAAGUUGUUCCCUAGGCACCAUGUAGAUAGAGACAUCUCCAUGGCCUCUCCUGAUUCCAGUGAAGCUGUGUGCCAUCAACAUACUGAUAAAUUGCAGUUACUCCAUUAAUGCUGGCGGCUGUGUUUAGUAGUCAGACGUCACAUUUAAAUUUGGGUUGGGGUUUUUUUUUGUUUGUUUGUUGUUUCUUUGCACUUCGCCCAUCUAUAAUUUAAAUGUAAAACGGAGGGUGGCUAGAAUGUGCUUUUGAUUCCUCAACGGCGCUCUUCCACUUUCCAAACUAAAUUACAUUCUUUUUAAACAUAUUCCAAGUCAUAAGUGGCGGGGGGGGGGGGGGAAUGACAAGGAGUUUCCAACAUGAAACGUGUCAUCCGGAACAGAAAAUGGGAGAGAGCCAUUGAGAAAUCAAAUGUACAUUCAAGCCAACAUCAGUUUUGCAUUUAAAUUAUAGAUGUAAGAAGUGCAGAAACAAAACAGGAUUGAAUUUAAGUGUGGCAUCUGACUAUUGCCUUCAAGUGUAAUAAAUAAUUUUUCAGAGCUGUCAAACAAAUUGCAUUUGCAACAAUCUGAACAAACCACUGAACGAAUGAAAAGCACAAUCAAGAUGUAUUGAACCAGUAAAUGGGGAGCAGCCGCUUCCAUCACCUUAAAACAACAGUCUGCUACAUUUAAACAUGGCAAAUAUUAAAAAUUUGGCAUGAUUUUUUUAAAAAAAACUGUCAACAUUUUAAAUGGAGGUUGUUGAUAGUAUUUUUCAUGGGAAUCUGGUUAGCCACUGUGGGCAUGGGAAGCUGGGCUUUUAGUCAGAUCCAACAAGUAGGGGGGGACGCCGGAAUGCGGGUGGCGCUGUGGGUUAAACCACAGAGCCUAGGACUUGCUGAUCAGAAGGUCGGUGGUUCGAAUCCCAGUGAUGGAGUGAGCUCCCGUUGCUCAGUCCCUGCUCCUGCCAACCUAGCAGUUCAAAAGCACGUCAAAGUGCAAGUAGAUAAAUAGGUACUGCUCCGGUGGGAAGGUAAAUGGCGUUUCCGUGCACUGCUCUGGUUUGCCAGAAGAGGCUUAGUCAUGCUGGCCACAUGACCUGGAAGCUGUACGCCGGCUCCCUCGGCCAAUAAAGCGAGAUGAGCGCGGCAACCCCAGAGUCGGCCACGACUGGACCUAAUGGUCAGGGGUCCCUUUACCUUUACUUUAACAAGUAGGGGUACCAAGAAAAGUCUCCAGUAUUGUGCAUGUGGUUUGCACCCUCCAACCCAUUUGCAAAUGGGGAUACCAAUUUGCAUAAAUUUGCAUAUGAUUUGUAUCAUAUGCAAAAUUUAUCAUUAUUUUUUAAGUGGUAUGGGGGGGGGCUCAAAAUAAAUCAGUGGCCACACAUGUAAUAAAAUGUCUAACAGAUAGAAUGAGAACCAAUGAAGUUUCCCCCCUCAGUGCAUUUCUAUACAAUCCUGCAUUUGCCACAGCAGAGGUCAGGUGGGGCGGGGCUCUUUAAUGUGCACCUGCACUUGUUGUGUAGAAAAUAACUGCAGAAAAUAACUUACCAGAGUACCUAAUCUCAGGGGAAUCCACCACAGGAAAGAUGUAUCAUGACUGCUAGGGAAAAAAGGAAGGGCAAACUUUGGAGAUUCCAAGGACUAGAAAAUGAGACAGAAGCAGGAAAAAAACAGCAGCUCUUUAGGAUUCAUGUCACCUGCUGUCUAAAUGGCACACUUGUCAACUUUGACUUCACUCAUGAGGUAAAAACACACACACAUGGGAGCAGCCAGACUGGCUCAUUUCACAGAAAUUGCUUAGGAAGGGUUCCUGCACAUUUUGCUUCGUAACUUUUUUUCUAGGAGGCCAACCUACCUUUUCUAAAUAAAUAAAUAAAAAUUUUAAAAGCUCUGUAUCGUGCUCAGGUGCAGAUGGCUCUGUUUUUUUGUUCCGGCGACUCGUGUUCGGGCAAAAAAAAGCUCAACAAGUUUGUGGGUCAACAACUGUCUGGAUUUUUACUUCUUGAAAUAUGACAGCCCUAAAUAGCCUUACUGUCAUGCUUCUUUGAAUCUAAAUUGCUGCUCAGCAGCUGGAUGUUUCCAAAACAUGCGCGCUCUCUCGCUCUCUCUCUCUCUCUCUCUCUCUCUCUCUUUCUAGCAUUCUGCCUUUUUUCAAUACAUGCCAGGCCAAUACAUUGCCAUCCUUUUUUCCUUUUAUGUGUGUCCAUCACUUGCUGCGUCAUUCACUGCUCCUCUAAUAUGAUGUGAUGCACACCAGGCUUUAUUGAAUCCCUGCUGAAGGUUUGAUUUGCAUAUACCUAAGCUGUGAGGAAAAAUGAGGCAAAAUGACUGGCAGCACACCCUGGCAAAGGCUGGGCAUUUUGCCUGGCCAUUGAUACUGGCCAAGGGUCCCAUCAUGUAAAUGCUGUCACUUGUACUUUGUAGUCGAGGGUGAGAAAGGAGACAGUCCUCCCAUGCUGUGUCUGACAGUCCCAGCAGCCUUGGUCAAAAAAGGUAAACGACCCUGUUCCACAUACUCCAUAUAUGCCAAAGGAAGAUGCCUCACAGUUUGCCAAAUGAAUUGUCAGUUCUCUGUAAGUUCACAUUACCAGCAAAGUUGUUGUUUUUCUGGUGUGUUUUGCAGCUCUUCCCCACGUCCCAUGGCUUCAAUUCAAUUCAUCCCACAUACACCCGUCAGGAAGAUAUUGGGCAUCACAUGGCUGGACAAAGUCUCAAACAAAGAUGUGCUCUCUCCCAAGCCAACAUUCCCACUCCUGUCUCAUUGACGUCUACCUUGGCUUGGUCAUGUCCACAGGAUGGAAGAUGUCAGCAUCCCCAAGGGAGAUGGCUUCAGGCUCUGCAUUACAAAGAUAUCUGUAAACAUGAUGGCUGGCAACAUCAACCCCUCUGUUUGGAAACCCCUUACAAGAUGACCACAGUGGCUGGAGAAAGUCAGGUCGUGUAUCCAUCGCAGGGACCAGAGGAGGAAUGACAGCAGCACAACAGAAUGCCUUCAUCUGAUCCAGGGGCAACACAACACAUCUCUCCUGUAUCAACACAACAUGUCUCUCCCGUAUCAGUCUUAACAGCCACAGCAGGCGCUGCAACUCUCCGAAGGUUUGACUUCACCUCCAAAGCCACACUCUUCCAUUGUCUCCCAAGAGAGACGAGUGCCAGUCAUCAUACACCAGGAGGCAUUGACAGGCAGGGGUGUGUUUCCCCAAUGCAAAGGUGUUCACACCUUGGCUAGAGACAAAUUAGGAAUGGUUUUUGGACUCCAGUGGACACGAAGCUGGUUUGAGGAGCAACACAUCAAACAGUGGUAACAAAGCACAGGGUACAUAUGCAUUUUGGAUAACAUCAUGUGAAACAGUAUGAGUGCACAUUAAACGGG